UCCACAAGGCACUCUUACACUUCACAUUUAUCUAAAAAUCUCAACAUUUAAAUUUUGUCAAUCAUUUCAAUUGCGAUAUAUUUUUUUCUGAUUCUCAAGCAAGCGAGAUAUUUUGGACCUCAGAGAAGGGAAAUUGUUUGGGGUAAAUCUUACCAUUUUUAUUGGUAUGUAAGAACUCCUUCCCAAUCCUUAUUAGAUUUGCGAUUUUGCAUCGAAGCUGAUUCAAUUCGAAAUCUUCCAUGCCAUAAACCCUAAGUUAAUUCCUUAUCUUCAUUUUAGAAUUUUGUGUUGAGCUCAGUCAUUGUUCUUUAUAGGCUCAGAAUCUGGUUUCGAUGGCGCAAGCUCCGAAUCUCCAUCGUGAGCAAUCAACCACAGUCAAGCAACCUGGACUGGAGAUGUCCACAGUUCAAAGUGAACUAGAUUUGUCAUAUAGGCAACGCUAUCAAGGCAUAACCAUUCCAAAGGCUUAUGAGCGUCUAAUUCUUGACACGUAUGCUAUUUUUCCUAGUUCAUGUUUAUGAGCGUCUAAUUCAUCAUUGUGUUCGAAGAGAUGAGUUGAAGGCAUCUUGGGAGAUCUUCACCCCACUUUUGCAUCGCAUUGAUAAAAGGGAGUUCAAGCCAAUCCCUUACAAACCUGGAAGCAGAGGUCCUGCAGAAGCUGAUGCAUUGCUAGAAAAAGCUGGUUUAUAUUAUUUAUUGCAGCGUUGCUAGUUCAGAGUUCUAAUUUCUUUGGUUUAUAUUUAUAAUUGCACUUGCAUUACUAGUUCCAGCACUAUUUGCUGCAGCGUUGCGUCCAUCUAGAUAAAUUAUUAGAAAAUUACAAUUUCUAGUUACUAUGUUUUCCGUGGUUGAUUAUUUGUACAUAUGUACUGAUUCCAUGCAUGCACAUUUCAUUAGUUAAUAAUAAUAACGCAUGAUGUAUCUAGGCACACAAUGGUGGGGUUGUAGCAGUUGAGCUAUCUAGGGUGAUGGGAGGUGCUCCUCAGCUAAUUACAAUUGGUGCAGAUAAGUAAUUGGCAAUAUGGGACACAGUCUCCUUUAAGGAGCUGCGGCGUAUAAAGCCAGUUUCGACCACAAUGUGGCUUCUUGGUGUCAUCCUCGAGCUCCAAACCUUGAUAUUUUAACCUGCGUCAAAGAUUCUCACUAUGGGAAAUUGAACAUCCCACUUAUUCUGCUGUCAUAAAGCCAUUGUGCGAAUUGACUUCAGUUAUUCCUCCUCAAGCUCUUGCUCCUAAUAAGAAACUGAAGGUUACUUGGAAGAUAGGCGUCCGGGGAUCCAUAUGUGGUGACAUCAUUACUGGCAGAGACUAUACUAUUAUGGGAACCAACUCUAGAGGUUGAAGCUCUUGCAGCUCAGAAGAUAGUAUUAGGAUGGAGUCAAUAGUUUGUGUAGAGCUGAAAAGCCCUUUCACUUUCCUUUUAGAUUAUGACGAAAGAG